rnacentral:tmRNA from 1 species
GGGCCGAACCAGGAUCGACGUGUGUUGAAAAGCGCCGACUAUCUCUCAGCGUGGGCCACUGUGACGGUCCAUUACACAAGUGCCAACGAUAACGAAGCACUCGCUAUUGCGGCGUAACCCCAAGGCUUAACGGCCUAAGGUUAUUCUGAAAUGCGCGGUUGGACCGCACCGGGCAACAGAAGCGGAUUCCAGCGGUACGGGGGACACCGGGCAACAGAAGUCCCCCACU